AAAUGAAUAGACGGGCACCCGCACAAGCGGUGGAGCAUGCUGUUUAAUUCGAAGAUACGCGAAGAACCUUACCUAGACUUGACAUCCCUGGCAAAUCUAUAGAAAUAUAGAGGAGGUUACCCAGGUGACAGGUGGUGCAUGGUUGUCGUCAGCUCGUGUCGUGAGAUGUUCGGUUAAGUCCGAUAACGAGCGCAACCCUUGUCAUUAGUUGCUAACAUUAAGUUGAGAACUCUAAUGAAACUGCCGGUGAUAAACCGGAGGAAGGUGGGGAUGACGUCAAAUCAUCAUGCCCCUUACGUCUAGGGCUACAGGCGUGCUACAAUGGCCGAUACAAAGAGAAGCGAUACCGCGAGGUGGAGCAAAUCUCCAAAAUCGGUCCCAGUUCGGAUUGGAGUCUGCAACUCGACUCCAUGAAGUUGGAAUCGCUAGUAAUCCUGAAUCAGAAUGUCAGGGUGAAUACGUUCCCGGGUGUUGUACACACCGCCCGU
rnacentral:rRNA from 1 species